GGGUCCUCGAGAGGGGUGAUUGUCAUAUUGCCAGGGUGUGUGUGAGAGUAUCCUCCGAGGUUUCCUUGUGUGAUGUGGGAGUAAUGUGUGUGCAAGUGAACGAAGGUUGUAGCAUUAUUGGUGCAUAUGGGGAGCGUACUUUAAUGAAUAUUGUACCUCGUACUGAGGUGCGUGAUGUUAGGGAGAGGCUGAGAGUAUGUUUAGAGAUCAUAUGUGAG